AGAGUUUGAUCCUGGCUCAGGAUGAACGCUGGCGGCGUGCUUAACACAUGCAAGUCGAACGAGGUCCAACCUUCGGGUGAAGACCGAGUGGCGAACGGGUGAGUAACACGUGGGGAACCUGCCCUUCUCUCUGGGAUAACGUCGAGAAAUCGGUGCUAAUACCGGAUACUCCUUGCGGAUCGCAUGGUCUGCUCGGGAAAGCUCCGGCGGAGAUGGAUGGCCCCGCGGCCCAUUAGCUAGUUGGUGAGGUAACGGCCCACCAAGGCGACGAUGGGUAGCCGAGCUGAGAGGCUGAUCGGCCACACUGGGACUGAGACACGGCCCAGACUCCUACGGGAGGCAGCAGUGGGGAAUUUUGCACAAUGGGCGAAAGCCUGAUGCAGCAACGCCGCGUGCGGGAUGAAGGCCCUCGGGUCGUAAACCGCUUUCAGCAGGGAUGAAAAUGACAGUACCUGCAGAAGAAGCCCCGGCUAAAUACGUGCCAGCAGCCGCGGUAAUACGUAUGGGGCAAGCGUUAUCCGGAUUUAUUGGGCGUAAAGCGCGCGUAGGCGGAUUGUUAAGUCGGAUGUGAAAACCGGGGGCUCAACCCGCGGCCUGCAUCUGAAACUGGCAGUCUUGAGUCUGGUAGAGGAAAGUGGAAUUCCUGGUGUAGCGGUGAAAUGCGCAGAUAUCAGGAGGAACACCAGUGGCGAAGGCGGCUUUCUGGGCCACGACUGACGCUGAGGCGCGAAAGCUAGGGGAGCAAACAGGAUUAGAUACCCUGGUAGUCCUAGCCGUAAACGAUGGGCACUAGGUGUGGGGGGUCAUCGACUCCCUCCGUGCCGAAGCUAACGCAUUAAGUGCCCCGCCUGGGGAGUACGGCCGCAAGGCUAAAACUCAAAGGAAUUGACGG
rnacentral:rRNA from 1 species